rnacentral:rRNA from 1 species
GAUGAACGCUAGCUACAGGCUUAACACAUGCAAGUCGAGGGGCAGCAUUUUAGUUUGCUUGCAAACUAAAGAUGGCGACCGGCGCACGGGUGAGUAACACGUAUCCAACCUGCCGAUAACUCGGGGAUAGCCUUUCGAAAGAAAGAUUAAUAUCCGAUAGUAUAUUAAACCGCAUGGUUUUACUAUUAAAGAAUUUCGGUUAUCGAUGGGGAUGCGUUCCAUUAGUUGUUGGCGGGUAACGGCCCACCAAGACUACGAUGGAUAGGGGGUUCUGAGAGGAAGGUCCCCCCACAUUGGAACUGAGACACGGUCCAAACUCCUACGGGAGGCAACAGUGAGGGAAUAUUGGUCAAUGGGCCGAGAGGCUGAACCAGCCAAGUUUGCGUGAGGGAUGAAGGUUCUAUGGAUCGUAAACCU